AGGAGUGAACUGUUGUUGGUCCGAGCGGCAAGUCCUCUGGAGGAUGCAGUGCAGUUCAGCGGGAGCCGGCUGGCAUCCCCCUGAAUCCUGUGCUGUUCAGCAGUGAGAUGUUGGAGGAGAUGGAGAAGGUUUCUCCAUCAAAUCUGACAUCUCCUGCUGACUUUGCUGGUGUUUCACCGCCAAAGGUAAAUUGCAUCCAGACAAACAUGUGUUUAGGUGUUAUCAUAAAAUGUUUUAUUCUGAAAGUCUAAAUGAUUAACGAUAGACUUCUAUAACGCUAAAUGUGUUCUGUGUCCAUAUCAUUUUGGACAGACGCUGCGUGUGAAACACCACUCCAAGAGGACUCGAAGGGUAAGUAGAUUUUGGAAAUAAAUCUUUGUAUUUAUUAUUUUUCCUGUGUUUGUGAAGUGAAAUAAACUUUGUUUUCGUUU